UCCCAUAUGGUCCAGUGGUUAGGAUUCCUCGCUUUCGCCGAGGCGGCCGGGGUUCGAUUCCCCGUAUCGGAG
rnacentral:tRNA from 1 species